rnacentral:lncRNA from 1 species
CAGUGUUGCGUCAACAAGCAGAGUACCAUCAAUUAGUCUUGAGGGAACAAUUGGAGUACCAGAGGCAACAAUCUGAGGACCAGAGGCAACAAGCCGAGUACCAGAAGAAGAGGGACGAGUAUUAUGCAAACCUCCAGGCCCAAAAUCAAGCUCUUCUCUCGGUAAGCUGAAGUAACAUUUUGUAGCUUAUUUUGUAAAACACAUGAUGUGUAUCUUAUUUGCUCAACAAUGACUUGUAUAUAAUUUGUAGCAACUAGCCCAACAAGCGGGCGUCCCGAUGCCCACCUAUGGGAUGCCGCCUCCGGACUUUGCACUUCCGAUGCCAAUGCUUGCGCCUCCACCUCCGCCUCCG